AUUGAACGCUGGCGGCAGGCCUAACACAUGCAAGUCGAGCGGUAGCACAGGGAGCUUGCUCCUGGGUGACGAGCGGCGGACGGGUGAGUAAUGUCUGGGAAACUGCCUGAUGGAGGGGGAUAACUACUGGAAACGGUAGCUAAUACCGCAUAACGUCGCAAGACCAAAGAGGGGGACCUUCGGGCCUCUUGCCAUCAGAUGUGCCCAGAUGGGAUUAGCUAGUAGGUGGGGUAACGGCUCACCUAGGCGACGAUCCCUAGCUGGUCUGAGAGGAUGACCAGCCACACUGGAACUGAGACACGGUCCAGACUCCUACGGGAGGCAGCAGUGGGGAAUAUUGCACAAUGGGCGCAAGCCUGAUGCAGCCAUGCCGCGUGUAUGAAGAAGGCCUUCGGGUUGUAAGGUACUUUCAGCGGGGAGGAAGGCGAUAAGGUUAAUAACCUUGUCGAUUGACGUUACCCGCAGAAGAAGCACCGGCUAACUCCGUGCCAGCAGCCGCCGUAA
rnacentral:rRNA from 1 species